rnacentral:misc_RNA from 1 species
AAGUCAUAACAAGGUUUCUGUAGGUGAACCUGCAGAAGGAUCAUUAUUGAAUUGUAAAAAAUGGGGAGAUUGCUUUCGAGCAUCUCCUCUAACAUUUUCUUUAUUCCUUAAACACCUGUGAAUCGUUGCUGAGCUCGCUCAGUGGCACACUUUAUAAAACACACUUUAUAGUUUUGAAAGUACAAAAAACAAAAAACAAAAAUAUAACUUUUGACAACGGAUCUCUUGGUUCUCC